rnacentral:tRNA from 1 species
UGGCAUGUGGCUCACUUGGUAGAGCGCUUGCCUAGUAUCCAAGAAGCCCUGGGUUCCAUCCCCAGGAGGGCAC